AUGUCUCUGCCCUGCAAGCAGCAACCAUCACGAUCCCAGGACAGUGGGCAUGAGUUCCAGGCAUGCGGCGGCCAAACCAGCACCCAGGUGGCCCUCCGCAAUGACAGAAGGAGGUGCCGAAUACAGGGAACUACACGGCGAAUGUUUCUGAAGCCAGACCCAGACUUCAACACGACGUUUCUCAAAGUUUCAACACCAGCUCCCCGCAACGAGAUGUCCGUCUCCAUCAAGGGGCCCCGGGCGUCCUUGACGUGGCAGAAGCUGCACAAUAAAGUGACCCCUGAGAAGGCCAUCAACGUGCUAGCCGCUGCCCAAGGGGGAAUCUGCGCCAUGUUAAAGGAACAAUGUGGGUUUUGGUCACCACCCAGCCGUCCACCCACUGAGCUCACGCAGACAGGCCAGUCCUCAGGCCCCGUCCCGCCAGCCAGCCCGGACGUCCCGAUGAGCAAGCGAGAGCUGUCUGGGGCUGGCCGCCAUCGUCCUCGAGAAGAAAGCUGGGAGCCGCGAAGGCAGGAUGCCCUGGGCAUCUGUGCUGGGGGAGGUGGGAGUGUUGCCCACCAGAGUUCGGAGGCCCAGAAGGCUCAGGAGCCUGGGAGAGGAUGGGGCUGCCCCGGGAGCUUUGGGGAGCAGGGAGAGCUUGUGCAGGUAAGCAGGGCCUCCACCACGGCCCCGGCAGUCUACCCUCUGGAUUCCAGCUGCAAGGGCACAACCGGCUCCACAGUGACCGUGGGCUGCCUGGUCUCGAGCUACUUCCCUGAGCCAGUGACCGUGACCUGGAACUCGGGCGCCCUAUCCAGCGGUGUGCACACCUUCCCAUCCGUCCUCGGGUCCUCGGGGCUGUACUCUCUCAGCAGCACUGUGACCGUGCCUGCCAGCACCUCGUCCGGCAAGACCUUCACCUGCAACGUAGCCCACCCGGCCAGCAGCACCAAGGUGGACAAGCGCAUCGAGAUCAAUAACUCCAAACCUCCCACAUGCCCCAAGUGUCCUGAAUGCCAGAAAUGUUCCAAAUGUCCACCCCCUGAGCUCCCAGGAGGACCGUCCGUCUUCAUCUUCCCCCCGACACCCAGGGACACCCUCACAAUAUCCCAAAUACCCGAGGUCACCUGCGUUGUGGUUGACGUGGGCCACGAGGACCCCGAUGUCCAGUUCUCCUGGUACGUGGACGACGUAGAGGUGCACACGGCCAAGACGAAGCCAAGGGAGGAGCAGUUCAACAGCACCUACCGUGUGGUCAGCGCCCUGCCCAUCCAGCACCAGGACUGGCUGAAGGGAAAGGAGUUCAAGUGCAAGGUCAACAACAAAGGUCUCCCGGCCCCCAUCGUGAGGACCAUCUCCAAGGCCAAAGGGCAGCCCCGGGAGCCGCAGGUGUACGUACUGGCCCCACCGCGGGAAGAGCUGGCCAAGAGCUCGGUCAGCUUAACCUGCAUGGUCACCGGCUUCUACCCGGGCGACAUCGACGUGGAGUGGCAGAGAAAGGGGCAGCCGGAGUCAGAGGGCAAGUACGGCACGACCCCACCCCAGCUGGACGCCGACGGGUCCUUCUUCCUGUACAGCAAGCUCAGGGUAGACAAGAGGAGCUGGCAGCAGGGAGACACCUACACGUGUGUAGUUUUGCACGAGGCUCUGCACAAUCACAACACGCAGAAGUCCAUCUCCCAGUCUCCGGAACUGCUCCUAGAGGAGGAGACCUGUGCUGAUGCCCAGGACGGGGAGCUGGACGGGCUGUGGACGACCAUCUCCAUCUUCAUCACCCUCUUCCUGCUCAGCGUGUGCUACAGCGCCACCGUGACCCUCUUCAAGGUGAAGUGGAUCUUCUCAUCGGUGGUGGAGCUGAAGCGGACGAUCGUCCCCGACUACAGAAACAUGAUCGGGCAGGGCGCCUAG